AGAAUCAACGCUGGCGGCGUGCCUAACACAUGCAAGUCGCACGAGAAAGGGGAGCAAUCCCUGAGUACAGUGGCGCACGGGUGAGUAACACGUGAAUGAUCUACCUCCGAGUGGGGAAUAACUGAGAGAAAUCUUAGCUAAUACCGCAUAAUACCCACGGGUCAAAGCAGCAAUGCGCUUGGAGAGGAGUUCGCGGCAGAUUAGUUAGUUGGCGGGGUAAUGGCCCACCAAGACGAUGAUCUGUAUCGGCCUGAGAGGGCGCACGGACACACUGGAACUGAAACACGGUCCAGACUCCUACGGGAGGCAGCAGUGGGGAAUUUGCGCAAUGGGGAAACCUGACGCAGCAACGCCGCGUGGAGGAUGAAGCCCCUUGGGGUGUAAACUCCUUUCGAUCGGGAAGAUAAUGACGGUACCGAUAUAAGAGCCCGGCUAACUCGCGCCAGCAGCCGC
rnacentral:rRNA from 1 species